rnacentral:rRNA from 1 species
CACGUAGGGCGCAAGCGUUGUCCGGAAUUAUUGGGCGUAAAGAGCUCGUAGGCGGUCUGUUACGUCUGCUGUGAAAACCCAGGGCUUAACCCUGGGCUUGCAGUGGAUACGGGCAGACUAGAGGCAGGUAGGGGAGAAUGGAAUUCCCGGUGUAGCGGUGAAAUGCGCAGAUAUCGGGAGGAACACCGGUGGCGAAGGCGGUUCUCUGGGCCUGACCUGACGCUGAGGAGCGAAAGCGUGGGAGCGAACAGG